rnacentral:rRNA from 1 species
UACGGAGGGUGCAAGCGUUGCUCGGAAUUAUUGGGCGUAAAGGGUAGGUAGGUGGUCUCAUUUGUCUGGGGUGAAAGCCUUGAGCUUAACUCAAGAAGUGCCCCGGAAACGGUGAGACUGGAGUCCUGGAGAGGGUCGUGGAAUUCCCGGUGUAGCGGUGAAAUGCGUAGAGAUCGGGAGGAACACCAGAGGCGAAGGCGGCGACCUGGACAGGUACUGACACUAAACUACGAAAGCGUGGGGAGCAAACAGG